rnacentral:rRNA from 1 species
UACGAAGGGGGCUAGCGUUGCUCGGAAUCACUGGGCGUAAAGGGUGCGUAGGCGGGUCUUUAAGUCAGGGGUGAAAUCCUGGAGCUCAACUCCAGAACUGCCUUUGAUACUGAGGAUCUUGAGUUCGGGAGAGGUGAGUGGAACUGCGAGUGUAGAGGUGAAAUUCGUAGAUAUUCGCAAGAACACCAGUGGCGAAGGCGGCUUUCUGGACCAAUACUGACGAUCAGGUGCGAAAGCGUGGGGAGCAAACAGG